rnacentral:rRNA from 1 species
GAUGAACGCUAGCGGCAGGCCUAAUACAUGCAAGUCGAACGGGAUCCAGAUCAAAGCUUGCUUUGGUCUGGUGAGAGUGGCGCACGGGUGCGUAACGCGUGAGCAACCUACCCUUGUCAGGGGGAUAGCCCGGCGAAAGUCGGAUUAAUACCGCAUGACAUCAUUGAGAGGCAUCUUUCGAUGAUCAAAGAUUUAUCGGACAAGGAUGGGCUCGCGUGACAUUAGCUAGUUGGUAAGGUAACGGCUUACCAAGGCUGCGAUGUCUAGGGGCUCUGAGAGGAGAAUCCCCCACACUGGUACUGAGCCACGGACCAGACUCCUACGGGAGGCAGCAGUAAGGAAUAUUGGUCAAUGGACGGAAGUCUGAACCAGCCAUGCCGCGUGCAGGAGGACGGCCCUAUGGGUUGUAAACUGCUUUUAUACGGGAACAAACGUCGGUACGUGUACCGGUCUGAGUGUACCGUAAGAAUAAGGAUCGGCUAACUCCGUG